UGCAAGUCGAGGGGCAGCAUGGUCUUAGCUUGCUAAGGCCGAUGGCGACCGGCGCACGGGUGAGUAACACGUAUCCAACCUGCCGUCUACUCUUGGACAGCCUUCUGAAAGGAAGAUUAAUACAAGAUGGCAUCAUGAGUUCACAUGUUCACAUGAUUAAAGGUAUUCCGGUAGACGAUGGGGAUGCGUUCCAUUAGAUAGUAGGCGGGGUAACGGCCCACCUAGUCUUCGAUGGAUAGGGGUUCUGAGAGGAAGGUCCCCCACAUUGGAACUGAGACACGGUCCAAACUCCUACGGGAGGCAGCAGUGAGGAAUAUUGGUCAAUGGGCGCAGGCCUGAACCAGCCAAGUAGCGUGAAGGAUGACUGCCCUAUGGGUUGUAAACUUCUUUUAUAAAGGAAUAAAGUCGGGUAUGUAUACCCGUUUGCAUGUACUUUAUGAAUAAGGAUCGGCUAACUCCGUGCCAGCAGCCGCGGUAAUACGGAGGAUCCGAGCGUUAUCCGGAUUUAUUGGGUUUAAAGGGAGCGUAGAUGGAUGUUUAAGUCAGUUGUGAAAGUUUGCGGCUCAACCGUAAAAUUGCAGUUGAUACUGGAUAUCUUGAGUGCAGUUGAGGCAGGCGGAAUUCGUGGUGUAGCGGUGAAAUGCUUAGAUAUCACGAAGAACUCCGAUUGCGAAGGUAGCCUGCUAAGCUGCAACUGACAUUGAGGCUCGAAAGUGUGGGUAUCAAACAGGAUUAGAUACCCUGGUAGUCCACACGGUAAACGAUGAAUACUCGCUGUUUGCGAUAUACGGCAAGCGGCCAAGCGAAAGCGUUAAGUAUUCCACCUGGGGAGUACGCCGGCAACGGUGAAACUCAA
rnacentral:rRNA from 1 species